rnacentral:rRNA from 1 species
UACGUAGGGUGCGAGCGUUAAUCGGAAUUACUGGGCGUAAAGUGUGCGCAGGCGGCCGCGCAAGUCGAGUGUGAAAGCCCCGGGCUUAACUUGGGAAUUGCGCUCGAAACUACGUGGCUGGAGUGUGGCAGAGGAAGGUGGAAUUCCACGUGUAGCGGUGAAAUGCGUAGAGAUGUGGAGGAACACCGAUGGCGAGGGCAGCCUCCUGGGCCAACACUGACGCUCAUGCACGAAAGCGUGGGGAGCAAACAGG